rnacentral:piRNA from 1 species
UCUCAGCUACACGGAGACCCAAUGGGAA